AAUCAACGCUGGCGGCGUGCUUAACACAUGCAAGUCGAACGCGGUUACUGCCUCUCCGCAAGGAGAGAUGGUGACUGAGUGGCGAACGGGUGAGUAACACGUGGGUGAUCUACCCUGAGUGGGGGAUAACGUUCCGAAAGGAACGCUAAUACCGCAUGACGUUCUGGGUUUGAAGACCUGGAAACCAAAGCUGGGGCCCUUAGGGCAACUUAAGGCCUGGCGCUUGGAGAGGAACCCGCGCCUGAUUAGCUAGUUGGUGAGGUUACGGCUCACCAAGGCGACGAUCAGUAGCCGGCCUGAGAGGGCGGACGGCCACACUGGGACUGAGACACGGCCCAGACUCCUACGGGAGCAGCAGUUAGGAAUCUUGGACAAUGGGCGCAAGCCUGAUCCAGCCAUGCCGCGUGAGUGAUGAAGGCCUUA
rnacentral:rRNA from 1 species